GCCGAAGUGGUGGAAUGGUAGACACGCAGCGUUCAGGGCGCUGUCCCAGCAAUGGGGUGGAGGUUCAACUCCUCUCUUCGGCA
rnacentral:tRNA from 5 species